GGAUUUAUUGUGAAGGUGGAGGCUAUAUUACAUGGAUUUAUUGUGAUGGUGUAGGCUAUAUUACAUGGAUUUAUUGUGAAGGUGGAGGCUAUAUUACAUGGAUUUAUUGUGAUGGUGUAGGCUAUAUUACAUGGAUUUAUUGUGAUGGUGUAGGUAGACUAUAUUACAUGGAUUUAUCGUGACGGUGUAGGUAGACUAUAUUACAUGGAUUUAUUGUGAUGGUGUAGGCUAUAUUACAUGGAUUUAUUGUGAUGGUGUAGGCUAUAUUACAUGGAUUUAUUGUGAUGGUGUAGGUAGACUAUAUUACAUGGAUUUAUUGUGACGGUGUAGGU
ensembl:lncRNA